rnacentral:rRNA from 1 species
UGGGGAUAAUACCGGAUAACGCAUAUAUGCUGGAAUGCUUUAUGCGUAAAAUGGAUUCGUCUGCCCAAGGAUGGGUCUGCGGCCUAUCAGGUAGUAGUGGGUGUAAUGUACCUACUAGCCUACAACGGGUACGGGUUGUGAGAGCAAGAGCCCGGAGAUGGAUUCUGAGACAUGAAUCCAGGCCCUACGGGGCGCAGCAGGCGCGAAAACUUUACAAUGCGGGAAACCGUGAUAAGGGGACACCGAGUGCCAGCAUCAUAUGCUGGCUGUCCAGAUGUGUAAAAUACAUCUGUUAGCAAGGGCCGGGCAAGACCGGUGCCAGCCGCCGCGGUAACACCGGCGGCCCGAGUGGUGAUCGUGAUUAWUGGGUCUAAAGGGUCCGUAGCCGGWUUGGUCAGUCCUCCGKGAAAUCUGAUGGCUCAACCAUUAGGCUUUCGGGGGAUACUGCCAGGCUUGGAACCGGGAGAGGUAAGASGKACUACAGGGGUAGSAGUGAAAUCUUGUAAUCCCUGUGAGACCACCUGUGSCGAA